CCUACGGGUGACAGCAGUGGGGAAUAUUGCACAAUGGGGGAAACCCUGAUGCAGCGACGCCGCGUGAGUGAAGAAGUAUCUCGGUACGUAAAGCUCUAUCAGCAGGGAAGAAAAUGACGGUACCUGAAUAAGUAGCCCCGGCUAACGACGUGCCAGCAGCCGCGGUAAUACGUAGGGGGCGAGCGGUAUCCGGAGUUAUUGGGUUAAAAGGGUGCGUAGGCGGAAUAUCAAGUCAGCGGUAAAACUUCGGGGCUCAACCCCGUCGUGCCGUUGAAACUGAUGUUCUUGAGUGGGCGAGAAGUAUGCGGAAUGCGUGGUGUAGCGGUGAAAUGCAUAGAUAUCACGCAGAACUCCGAUUGCGAAGGCAGCAUACCGGCGCCCAACUGACGCUGAAGCACGAAAGCGUGGGUAUCGAACAGGAUUAGAUACCCUGGUAGUC
rnacentral:rRNA from 1 species